CACACACACACACACACAGACACUCUGAGGUACUGGAGAGCGGUCCUACUUCCCCACCUGGACCAGAGCACCAGGCCAUACAGAAAUAUUGUAAAGCGUCAGAAACCUGUGACUGGAGAGGAGAAUCUACGGUAUGUAACUGUAUAAAUAUUACUGUUAGAUCAUUUGUAUUAUUGUCAUUAAGAUUACUACAUCUAUGUAAUAUUGAAUUGUCUAUGCCUGAUACAGUAUGUUGCCUGUCAGUGUCAGACAUGGUAAUGACGUUAUAACGAAUCCCAGUGAUUCGGAUCUGAAGGGAAAAGCCACCUCUUUUAAUGUCCAAGCCUGCAACUUAAAUAGCACCAUAUUCCCUGUGAACUACUUUUGACAAUGACCCAUAGGGCUCUGGUCAAAAGUAGUGCACUAUAUAGAGCAGUGGUUCUCAACUGGUUUUUCCUGGGGACCUAAUUUGAACCAGGUCUGUCGUGGUCCAGUAUUUGCAUUGCGUUGUUUGUUGUUGCCAAAAUGCAUACUAUUUUCAAUGCUAUAUUGAUAGUAAAUGUAUCAAUUAUAUGACAAGGGAACCACAGUUCAAUUUUGCCCAUAUUCUUGAAGAAUGUUAAACUCACUGGUUUGAGACUACAAAAUCAACCCAUUCUGCUAAAUAGUGCUGCUAAUAACUCUAUAUUGAAAAUACUGUGAUUUUUAAGAAAAAUAGUUGAGGUUAAAUUAAAUAUAGUUUCAUUAUAAUUGUUUGUUGUUUAACUUCAGACUUGAGGAUGUAUUUUAUUUUUUAACUGGGACACUCGCGACUCAUUCAAAACCUCUCACGAGAGACCCACCAGUUGAGAAUUGCUGAUCUAGAGGAUAGGGUGCCAGUUGAGACCCACCCCAACUCCCUGUCUACUUAUCUGCUCAGUACCUCACGUCCACACCUCAGACAGUACAGACACGUAUUUUCUCUCUCCGAUAUGCUACGGAAACUUUUGAAGACCAUUUUGGCACGGCAUUGUAAGAUAUAAGAAAACAACACAUUUUGUAUUGGCUUGCGUUUCCCAAUAAUUUGUAAUCACUAUUUUUGAAAGCUACAAACCAAGAAGCUACUUUGCAAGAUCCUUUUAAAUAUUGAUCCCCGAUAUGCUAUUUGUUUGUAUUAAGAAUAAUUUUGUGCGCUCUUUCCCUCUUAUGUUUUUGUGUCUUUGUGCUUGUAUAUUUAAGGUAGUUUCUGUAUAAUUGUUCUCCUACGUAUCCUUCCUUAGAUCAACACCCUAUGGCAUCUCUCCAAUGUAAAGAUACAUUU